CCCUUAGAUGUCCUGGGCCGCACGCGUGCUACACUGAGUGGAUCAGCGGGUCAGGUUGCGCGAAAGUGUUUCCUAAUCUUGAAAUCCGCUCGUGAUGGGGAUUGACGGUUGCAAUUUUCCGUCAUGAACGAGGAAUACCUUGUAAGCGCGGGUCAUCAUCCCGCGCUGAAUACGUCCCUGCCCUUUGUACACACCGCCCGUCGCUACUACCGAUUGAACGGUUUAGUGAGGGCCUCGGAUUGGUCUCGGCCCGCUCUUUACCGGGCGGCGCCGUUGGUCGAGAAGACGCUCGAACUUGAUCGUUUAGAGGAAGUAAAAGUCGUAACA
rnacentral:rRNA from 1 species